rnacentral:rRNA from 1 species
UACAGGGGGUGCAAACGUUGCUCGGAAUCAUUGGGCGUAAAGCGCACGUAGGCGGUCUGUUAAGUCGGACGUGAAAUCCCUCAGCUUAACUGGGGAACUGCGUCCGAUACUGGAUGGCUUGGAUUUGGGAGAGGGAUGCGGAAUUCCAGGUGUAGCGGUGAAAUGCGUAGAUAUCUGGAGGAACACCGGUGGCGAAGGCGGCAUCCUGGACCAAUAUUGACGCUGAGGAGCGAAAGCCAGGGGAGCAAACGGG